rnacentral:rRNA from 1 species
AUUGAACGCUGGCGGCAGGCCUAACACAUGCAAGUCGAACGAGUGGCGGACGGGUGAGUAAUGUCUGGGAAACUGCCUGAUCGAGGGGGAUAACUACUGGAAACGGUAGCUAAUACCGCAUACCAUCGGAUGUGCCCAGAGGGGAUUAGCUAGUCGGGGGGUUAACGGCUCACCUAGGCGACGAUCCCUAGCCGGUCUGAGAGGAUGACCAGCCACACUGGAACUGAGACACGGGCCAGACUCCUACGGGAGGCAGCAGUGGGGAAUCUUGCACAAUGGGCGCAAGCCUGAUGCAGCCAGGCCGCGUGUAUGAAGAAGGCCUUCGGGUUGUAAAGUACUUUCAUCGGGGAGGCGUUACCCGCAGAAGAAGCACCGGCUAACUCCGUGCCAGCAGCCGCGGUAAUUC